rfam:Oryza nivara chromosome 8, whole genome shotgun sequence.
AAAAAGGUAAACCGUGGGUUCCGUGCCAACGUUUGACUAUCCGUCUUAUAUGAAAUUUUUUUAUAGUUAGUAUUAUCAUUGUUGUUAGAUGAUAAAACAUGAUUAAUACUUUAUACGUGACUUGUCUUUUUAAACUUUUUCAUAUUUUUUUAAAAUAAGACGGACGGUCAAAUGUUGGACACGAAAACCAGGGUUUGUCUUUUU